rnacentral:rRNA from 1 species
UACGUAGGAUGCAAGCGUUGUUCGGAAUUACUGGGCGUAAAGAGUACGUAGGCGGUAUCAUAAGUCUGUUAUUAAAGACCGAAGCUCAACUUCGGGAAUGUAAUGGAAACUGUGGAACUAGAGGUCAAUAGGGGGAGUCGGAAUUCCAAGUGUAGCGGUGAAAUGCGUAGAUAUUUGGAAGAACACCGGAAGCGAAAGCGGACUCCUGGGUUGAAACUGACGCUGAGGUACGAAGGCGUGGGGAGCAAACGGG